GCGGGCAUAGUAUAGAGGUAAUACAUGAGCUUCCCAAGCUUGAGUCGAGGGUUCGAUUCCCUCUGCCCGCACCA
rnacentral:tRNA from 1 species